GCAUUCGUGUUGUAAUGGUCAGCACACUUGAUUCGUAUUCGAGAGGCCAGAGGUUCGAAUCCCCUUGAGGGCA
rnacentral:tRNA from 1 species